rnacentral:rRNA from 1 species
CGGAGGGAUCAUUAUCGAGUUUACAACUCCCAAACCCUUAUGUGAACAUACCUACUGUUGCUUCGGCGGACUCGCCCCGGCGUCCGGACGGCCUCGCGCCGCCCGCGGCCCGGACCCAGGCGGCCGCCGGAGACCCCCAAACUCUGUAUUAUCAGCAUUUUCUGAAUCCGCCGCAAGGCAAAACAAAUGAAUCAAAACUUUCAACAACGGAUCUCUUGGUUCUGGCAUCGAUGAAGAACGCAGCGAAAUGCGAUAAGUAAUGUGAAUUGCAGAAUUCAGUGAAUCAUCGAAUCUUUGAACGCACAUUGCGCCCGCCAGCAUUCUGGCGGGCAUGCCUGUUCGAGCGUCAUUUCAACCCUCGACUUCCCUUUGGGGAAAUCGGCGUUGGGGAACGGCAGCAUACCGCCGGCCCCGAAAUGAAGUGGCGGCCCGUCCGCGGCGACCUCUGCGUAGUAAUCCAACUCGCACCGGAACCCCGACGUGGCCACGCCGUAAAACACCCAACUUCUGAACGUUGACCUCGGAUCAGGUAGGAAUACCCGCUGAACUUAAGCAUAUCAAUAAGCGGAGGAAAAGAAACCAACAGGGAUUGCCCCAGUAACGGCGAGUGAAGCGGCAACAGCUCAAAUUUGAAAUCUGGCCCUUGGGUCCGAGUUGUAAUUUGUAGAGGAUGCUUUUGGCGAGGUGCCUUCCGAGUUCCCUGGAACGGGACGCCAUAGAGGGUGAGAGCCCCGUCUGGUCGGACACCGAGCCUCUGUAAAGCUCCUUCGACGAGUCGAGUAGUUUGGGAAUGCUGCUCAAAAUGGGAGGUAUAUGUCUUCUAAAGCUAAAUAUUGGCCAGAGACCGAUAGCGCACAAGUAGAGUGAUCGAAAGAUGAAAAGCACUUUGAAAAGAGGGUUAAAAAGUACGUGAAAUUGUUGAAAGGGAAGCGCCUAUGACCAGACUUGGGCCCGGUGAAUCAUCCAGCGUUCUCGCUGGUGCACUUUGCCGGGCACAGGCCAGCAUCAGUUUGGCGCGGGGGAAAAAGGCUUUGGGAAUGUGGCUCCCUCGGGAGUGUUAUAGCCCCAUUGUGUAAUACCCUGCGCCGGACUGAGGUACGCGCAUUGCAA